GGGCGCAACCCUGAUCCAGCCAUGCCGCGUGAGUGAAGAAGGCCUUAGGGUUGUAAAGCUCUUUCAGAUGUGAAGAUGAUGACGGUAACAUCAGAAGAAGCUCCGGCUAACUUCGUGCCAGCAGCCGCGGUAAUACGAAGGGAGCGAGCGUUGUUCGGAAUCACUGGGCGUAAAGCGUGCGUAGGCGGAUAAGAAAGUCAGAAGUGAAAUCCCGGGGCUCAACCCCGGAACUGCUUUUGAAACUCCUUGUCUAGAAUCCGGUAGAGGAUAGCGGAAUUCCGAGUGUAGAGGUGAAAUUCGCAGAUAUUAGGAGGAACACCAGUUGCGAAGGCGGUUAUCUGGACCAUUACUGACGCUGAGAUACGAAAGCGUGGGGAGCAAACAGGAUUAGAUACCCUGGUAGUCCACGCCGUAAACGAUGUGUGCUAGUUGUCGGGCUGUUUGCUCUUCGGUGGCGGAGCUAAAGCAUUAAGCAUACCGCCUGGGGAGUACGG
rnacentral:rRNA from 1 species